ensembl:lincRNA
AAUAAAAGUCAUGUUUCAACAUAUCUUACUGAUGAUAAAAUAUACAUUCAUUGAGUUCUUCUACUGUGAAAAUUUAAAGAAAUAAGAAGUACCCAAAGUUACCUAAAUGUAUCAGGGCAUGGAACUCAUGGAAGACAUACUUUUCAUGCCGAAAGUAGUAUCUACAAGGGCCCUAAAUGAUAAAGGCAAGAAGACCAUUGAAAGAAUGUUGGAAUUUAUUCUGAAUGAGAUGGAGAGAGAUGUAGCAAAGUGGCUUCUAGUCCAAAAAUACCACCCUGGCUGCUCUGGUGAAAGUGACUACCAUAAUCCAGGUGUUGCCUAUUACCUACCAUUGCUGGAAGUUCUGAACCUCAGGAUCACCCACCAAUCCCCAAAGAAGCUACCCAGUUUGGGCAAUUACAGGAUCUGCUUCAGGGUUUUGUUUCCCACACUUUGGUGGACGUUGUGUCUGGCUCUCCAACCUCCAUCCCACCCUUUGGAUCCAUCUAAAUCAAUCAAGGUAAAGAAGACGAGGAGAGAAGAACUGGCAUCAAACAUUUAGAAGAUAAUUAAGAGGAUCUCAAGCUGCCUUAGCAGAGUGCAUCUCCUGAAGUGCAGAUAAAAUCAAUAUCAAGGCUCAGACAGACAUGGAGAUAAAAGUCCCAUGAAAGAAGACCUAGAAUUUUCAUUGAGUAGGACUCAGCACAAGAGCUGGCCCAGCUGCCUCAUCAUGGUUUGAACCUUUGUUUUCUUAUCUGUAACAUAACACCUACGGUGCCAGGUUGAGUUUUUGGCAAGCAGAAAGUUAAUUUGCAGAAUUAUUGAGAAGGCUCUUGGUGUCAACACCUAUGAAAACAAAGGAGGGAAAAUCACAGUGGCAUAGGGAAAAGUCAAGGCCAUGUUUGUCCUGCAUUGAUCUGAAAUGCCUGGACCUUUAUACCCCUGCCUCCAUCAAUCAUUGGAUGAGUAUCACCUAGGAAGGAUGUGGGAGAUGUGAUCCUUGAAGGGGCUGUCUGUUGAAGGUUGCUUGCUGAUAGCUUUCCCACUAGUAGGAACAAAAAGUCAUUCCUUCAGGGGAUCUGGGUAACAUUUUCUGUGUUUCUUACCUGUUAAACCUGGUUUUGUGAGAGAAAUUAUCUGUAAAACUUACUGUAAAUGUUAAUUUUAUAAUUCAUACCAUGAUCAAACAUUUAUUAAGGGUCUACUCUGUAAUAGCUCCUUGAUAUAAAUAAAAAUACUAAACCUGACUUUUUUCUUUUUUCUUUCUUUUUGGCUGAGUCUUGCUCUGUCACCCAGGUUAGAGUGCAGUGGUGCGACCUUGGAUCCCUGUAGCCUCCACCUCCCGGGUUCAAGUGACUCUUCUGCCUCAGUCUCCCAAGUAGCUGGGACUACAGGUGAGUGCCACCACACCCAGCUAAUUUUUGUGUUUUCAGUAGAG